rnacentral:misc_RNA from 1 species
GGGUUCAAAAGCACAUAUGAGAGGUACCAUGUGUCUUCUAUCAAGAAGAACAUAUUAAGUCGAAGCUUCUAAAUCUGCAAAACUGUAAGUACUUCCUUUCCUCCAUCCUCACUGCAUUGGAUGUAUCUUGAUCUGAAGCCAUUCACUAUUCUGGAGGAUUUCUCUCAUUGAUAUUACCAAGUGGCUAAACUAUAUCUUUUCUCUGAUUUGUCAACUAGAGCUCUCUAGAUGAGAGGCACCGUCAUAGAU